rnacentral:rRNA from 1 species
GGGGAAUCUUGCGCAAUGGCCGAAAGCCUGACGCAGCGACGCCGCGUGUGGGAGGAAGCUCUUCGGGGUGUAAACCACUGUUGCCCGGGACGAACACACCUAUUCGUAGGUGCUGCCGGUACCGGGGGAGGAAGCACCGGCUAACCCUGUGCCAGCAGCCGCGGUAAUACAGAGGGUGCGAGCGUUGUCCGGAAUCACUGGGCGUAAAGGGCGCGUAGGUGGUGGCUUAAGCGUGCGGUGAAAGCUCGGAGCUCAACUCCGAGUCGGCCGUGCGAACUGGGCUCACUGGAGCAUAGUAGAGGCAGGUGGAAUUCCGGGUGUAGCGGUGGAAUGCGUAGAGAUCCGGAAGAACACCGGUGGCGAAGGCGGCCUGCUGGGCUAUGACUGACACUGAGGCGCGACAGCGUGGGGAGCAAAC